ensembl:lncRNA
GAAAGAAUGAGCAGUGCUGAAUUCAUAUCUCAUAUUGCAGGUGCAGCUGAAUGAGAAUGACACAAAGCAGUGGGUGAAGAGGGUGGAGAAAGCUUCAGAGUUUGCUGUAGCUGAGGUGUUUUCCAUCAAGAAACCAUUUGGUAGAAAAAAAAACUAUGGCUCUGCAGACUGUACAGGAUCACGAUGAUGUGUACAGUGAAGCUCAGUCAAUUCUAAGUGAAUGGAUGAACCAGAAAUUACGUCUGGAGCUUGAAAUGGAUGAUGACGAGGAGGAAGAGGAGAUGGAAGAAUCCAAACCAAAUCCUAUAAUAACUUUGAUGGUACAAAUGAAAUGAAGGAAGUACCUUCUUUGUUUUAUUAAGUUUACCUUAAGAAUUCACAUAAAAUCUGUAAAAGUGUAAAAAUCAUAAAAAAGUUAUUUUAGUGUUGUUUAUAUACUAUUAUAAUAUGUAUUAAUAUUUUGAAUUAGCUUUUAUUUUUAGAUUUUCAGUUUUCAUCAAUUGUUAGUAAUUUUAUUUGUGCUUUUGUCAUUUAAAAAAAAUAUAUUUAUUUCUAUAUAACUUUAUUUUAAUUUUUAGUUAUAGUCGUUUUUGUACUUUAACUUAAUUCAUGGUUCAAGGUUCAGUUCAGGGCUAUUAUAAUUAACUAACACUAAAUCUGAACUAAAAUUAAAACCAUUCAAAAAUGUUGUUACUUAAAAUAAAAUAAACGUUUAAUUAAAAAAACCCUUUUUU